rnacentral:rRNA from 1 species
CUCUUUUUGAAUAUAAUUUAAAGUAGGGCCUGCCCACUGAAUUUUGAAGGGCCGCAGUAUCUUGACUGUGCAAAGGUAGCAUAAUCAUUAGUUUUUUAAUUGAAAGCUUGUAUGAAUGGUUUGAUGAAAAAAUUUCUGUUUCAAUUUUAAUUUUUAGAAUUUUAUUUUUAAGUUAAAAAGCUUAAAUUUUAUUUAAAGACGAGAAGACCCUAUAGAGUUCAACUAAACGUUCAGUUUAAAAUUUUAGAAUUUAAGUAUUUAGACCAAAUUUAAGUUUUGUUGGGGUGACAGAAAAAUUUAUUCAACUUUUUUUAUAUUUAAACAUAAAUUAUUGAAUUCUUGAUCCAUUUAUAUGAUUAAAAGAUUAAAUUACCUUAGGGAUAACAGCGUAAUAUUUCUUAAAAGUUCUUAUUUAAAAAAAAGUUUGCGACCUCGAUGUUGG